GACGAACGCUGGCGGCGUGCUUAACACAUGCAAGUCGAACGGAAAGACCCUGCUUUUGUGGGGUGCUCGAGUGGCGAACGGGUGAGUAACACGUGAGUAACCUGCCCUUGACUUUGGGAUAACUUCAGGAAACUGGGGCUAAUACCGGAUAGGAGCUCCUGCUGCAUGGUGGGGGUUGGAAAGUUUCGGCGGUUGGGGAUGGACUCGCGGCUUAUCAGCUUGUUGGUGGGGUAGUGGCUUACCAAGGCUUUGACGGGUAGCCGGCCUGGGAGGGUGACCGGCCAAGUUGGAAACGGAUACAGGCCCAAGCCGUGAGGGAGGGUGGCAGGUGGGAGGGAUGCUGAAUGGGCGAAGGCCUGUGGCGGAAACCGGCCGUGCGGGUUGAGGGCUUUCGGGUUGAAAGCCGCUUGCGCCGGUGGCGAAGGGGAGUGGAGGGAAAGGGUGAAAGAAGCCCCGGCAAACUCGUG
rnacentral:rRNA from 1 species